GCGGAGCCUACCACCUGCUCCCGAGGAGGGGGCGGCAAGGAGAGGGAGGGGGCGCAGCGGGGAGGAACGCCGGGGUGAACGUUGAAGGAGUGUUAGAGAUCCAAGCUUGGAAACCUGGCAAGGUUAGUUUUGUUCUAUUUGUUUAGAAAAGGCGCAGAGAGCGGCAGGGCUCUCUGCAUGCUGCUGAGUCAGAGCUUCGGAGGCAACUGGGAUCUGCCUCAGUUUCCUGGCCUGUAAAAUGGAUUAAUCAGGCAUGUCCCAGUUUCUCCUUCCCUGAGCUAUUGUGAGCCCAGUUGAGAUACUAUUUAAAGAAAAUGGAAAAAAAUUACAUGUGAGAAAGAAAAGGGAGUGGGAGCAACACAAAAAGACUGGAAGGAAAGAACCUGUGACCCUAUUAUCACUUGAAAAGUAAAAACUUCAAAAGUGAAUUUUCUCUUGAAAUUUCAAGUUUAAGUGAAAGCUGUAAAGGAAAGAAGGGGAAAUGAGAAUAAAAACGUUUAAUGUUUUCUUAUUCUACCACCUUCAAUACAUGAUAAAGCUGUCUUGUUUAUAAGUUUUUUUUGUUUUUAUUUUCUAAGUGCAUUAUCUCAUUUGAUGUUUAUGGCAACUUAAAGGCAAAAUAGUUAUUACUUCCAUUACACAAAGACACUAAACUUAAGAGGGCCUGCCUAUAUGUUCAGAAUCUUGGUGUACGACCCAGUUAUUUAAUCAUGAAGCCCUUAUUGUAUAGCAGGCUCAGCAAAGUUUUUCUUUGGGCCGUACAGUAAAUAUUUAGGCUUUGUGGACCAUAAGAUCUCUUUCUCAGCUACUCAACUCUGCCAUUGGAGCUCAAAAGCAGUCAUAGAAAAUAUGGGCUGUGUUCCUAUAAAGAUUUAUGUAUGGACACUGAAAUUUGAAUUUCAUAUAAUUUUCACGUCAUAAAAUGUUCUUCUAUUGAUUUAAACAUGGUCUUUGUUAGGUUUUGAAGGGAAGGUGAGGGUUAAAGAAAGACAGAGAGAGCAGUCUUGCUCUGCUGCCUAGGCCGGAGUACAGUGGCAUGAUCUCGGCUCACUGCAGCCUGGACAUCCAGGGCUCAAGUGAUCCUCCCACCUCAGCCUCCCAAGGUGCUGGAAUUACAGGUGUGAGCCACUGAGCCAGGCCCUUUUGAUCUUUUUUCAACCGUUUCAACGGUUAUUCUUAUUUCAGAUCUUAGUUUACCAACCCAUGUUGUAAAGUACCGCAGCUGGACAGAGUGGAAGCUCUGAAGACCUUUGCUCUGAACAAGUAAUUGAGAAGGGAAGAUGAGAGGGCAAUAGUACAGCACAAGUCAAGCAUGGGGGCUUUGGCAGAACUUAUUGAGCAAAGUAAGUAAUUAAGCCCAUCCAGAGAAGGCAGUUUUUGAGCUGGGUAUUAGGAAAUAUGUAAGAUUUCUAUAGGUGGAGAAGGAGAUGUCAGGCAUUCCUGAAUGAGAAAAUACAUUGAGCAAAAAGGCACAGACGUGGACACCUGUAGGUGGGGGCUAGGAUUGGGGCUGGUAACAACUGAAGGGAUGAAAUGGAAGGUGAGGCUGGAAAGGCAGGUUAGCCAAAUUUGAAAUUUAGAUAAUUGAUAUAUGUUGCAUGGAACCUGAAUGAUAGCAUGUCUGAGUAUAUUGCAAAAGAAGACAGUACCUGUUGGCCAAGGAAGGAUGCAGCCCAGUCUAUUCCCUGCUGUAAAGUUGAAAACAAAAGGAAGGUUAGGACAGACAGGGAAGCCCUAGACUCUGAGGGUUGUGUGAGUUCAGGAUAACCGCGUGUGGUUUAGAAAAGACAGGGAGAGAGCUGAUAGCUAGGAAAAAUCCCAGAAUUGGGAAAGUACUGCCCACCCCAAAGUAAACUGUUUGAGUGUAGAGACCCUGCUUAGGUUUUCCUUGAUGUAAACUCAGUGCCUACACAGUGUUAGGCACUUAGUAGGUGCUCAUAUAUUUGUCUAAUAAAAGAAUAAAUGGGCCAGGCACAGUGGCUUAUGCCUGUAAUCCCAGCACUUUGGGAGGCCGAGGCGGGCAGAUCACAAGGUUAAGAGAUCGAGACCAUCCUGGCCAACAUGGUGAAACCUCAUCUCUACUAAAAAUACAAAAGUAGCCGGGCAUGGUGGCACAUGCCUGUAAUCCCAGCUACUUGGGAGGCUGAGGCAGGAGAAUCGCUUGAACCCGGGAGGCGGAGGUUGCAGUGAGCCGAGAUUGCACCACUGCACUCCAGCCUGGGCAACAAGAGCAAAACUCCGUCUCAAAAGAAAAAAAAAAGAAUAAAUGAUCUGCAGUUUAUGAGAAAUGUCAGGAUGAAAGAGAGAGAAAACACUGAGAGGGACAAUAUUAGAGCUGUAUUAAAUCUGAAUUGGUUAUUGCAGACCCAUCAAAAAGGAAAUAUGUUCAGCUUGGCAUGAUACAGUCGUACCUAUCCUGACUCUGAGUAGGCUAUUGCUUCUCUAAGAGCUUACUAACCAUCUGUUUAAUAACUCGUUUUCAGAAUUUUUCCAGAGUCAAUGUGAAGUUCACUGGACUGAGUUCCCAGAAUUGACCAUUUCUCUUUUUUUUCCAUCUGUUUUUCUCUAUUCCUCCAUCAUGCUUUGGCUCUCCACUUUUUCUAAGACCUCUAUAACUGUUCAUGUAAGCACGUUUGUUCAUUUCCCCUAUUCUACAACCAUCCCCUUUUUGUGCAUUUUGCUUGAAAUGUAACUUUAAAAAUAGUUUCUUCUCCCAAGUUUGCAGAGCUUGGCCUAUUCUGGACUUUUAACUUUCCAGAAUUUUUUUUUUUCUUUGACAGGGUCUCACUCUGUCACCCAGGCAGGAGCGCAGUGGCGAAAUCUUUCCUCACUGCAACCCGGGCUCAAGCAAUUUUUUCACCUCAGCCUCCCCAGUAGCUGGAACUACUACAGGCACAUGCCACCAUAUCCACUUGAUUUUUGUGUUUUUUAUAGAGAUGGGGUUUUGCCACAUUGCCCAGGCUGGUUUGGAACUCCUGGGCUCAAACAAUCUGCCCCCCUUAGGCUCCCCAGAAACUAUUCUUAAAAGUGUUAGCAAAAAAAAAAAAAAAAAGUGUAGGCCAAGCACAGUGGCUCAUGCCUGUAAUCCCAACACUUAGGGAGGCAGAGGCAGGAGGAUACCUUGAGCCUAAGAGUUAGAGACCUGCCUGGGCAAUACAGCAAGACCCUUUUCUGCACAAAAAGGAAAAAAGAAAGACACAAAAAAAGUGGUAGCUAUUCAUUCUUACAUGCAUACCCCUUCUCCAUCAGCUAUUUUUUUCCUGCAAGUCCCUUUAAAAGUAGAGGUAUUCGGAAACCAUAACCCAUCAUAUUUUUGGCUGCUCAUGGUAGUCUCAGAAUUUAAUUUCUGAAAAGAUCCUAUCCCUUUUGAGCUAACUUACUUAUUAAGACUCCCUGGAAUCUUCUCUAAUACUUCUUUGACAUUUUAGAAAUCUGAACGUCUAAAGUUGAGUUCACACGUUUCUUCAUACCCAACAUUGUCUGCCUUGAUUAUCACAAAUUAUUAUGCUUUGUCUAAAGUUUUGAUCUGACUUAAAUCCAAAGCAACACAUCCCUUUAUGGCCUCCCCUACGUCUUGCGAGAUGAAAUGGACAACAGGAGAAAGUGAAAAUACAUGAGAUGAUUUAUUUUGAAUGAGUUAAGAUUUCCAAUAGCUGUCUGCAUAAUUGGAAAACCCCAAAAAAACUUUCUCUUACCUUUUGGAUACAUGGUUUUGUGAAUUAUAUUGGGAAAAUCUACAUAUUAUAGGCCUGGGUAUCAGGAAACACAUGGCACAUUUAAAGGCUAAUUGAAGAGAAUUUAAUGAAGGAAUAAAGGUGUUAAGGAAAACAAACAAGGGAUAGUUAGACAUCCAGGGACUAGCAACAGCUGGAGUUUUUACCAUCUCUAGGCCUGAAGGGAGAAGAGGAUGGAGGUGUUAUCAGAACCCAGGGAGAGGUUUAUUAUUAACAAUUUGCCAGGGGCCGGACGCGGUGGCUCACGCCUGUAAUCCCAGCACUUUGGGAGGCCAAGACGGGUGGAUCACCUGAGGUCAGGAGUUCAAGACCAGCCUGUUCAACAUGAUGAAACCCCGUCUCUACUAAAAAUACAAAAAAAAAAAAAAAAAAAUUAGCUGGGCAUGGUGGCGGGCGCUUGUAAUCCCAGCUACUUGGGAGACUGAGGCAGGAGAAUCGCUUGAACCUGGGAGGCAGAGGUUGCAGUAAGCCGAGAUUGCGCCACUGCACUCCAGCCUGGGCAACAAAAACAAAACUCUGUCUCAAAAAAAAAAAAAAAAAAGUUUUCCAGGGGCUGCCAUAACAAAGUACCACAAACUGGGUAGCUUAAACAAUAGAAAAUUCUUGUCUCACAGGCUUAGAAGUCUGAAAUCAAGGUAUUGGCAGGGUUGGUUCCUUCUGAGGUCUGUGAGAGAGAAUGUGUUUCAGGCCCUUCUCCUUGCCUUCUGGGUAACCAUCAUCUCCCUCGCCACAUGCUCUUCCCUGUGCAUCUGUCUCUCAUUGUGUUGGGAUUUCCCCUUUUUAUACGGACACCAGUCAUACUGCAUUGGGCUUCAUCCUAAAAACCUCAUUUUAAUUUGAUUACCUCUGGAAAGACCCUGUUUCCAAGUAAGGACACAUUCUGAGGUACUGGAGAUUAGGACUCCAACAUAUCUUUUGUUGGGUGGGGGGCAAAAUUCAACCCAUAACAGAGCUGUAGUAAGAGAGGCCCGCCUGGCAGCAGCUGUGCCCUUUAAUGAGCCCUGCAGGGAGAGGGCAGGGAAAUAAAGACCCACAUCUUCUCAAACGAGUGCCUCACCAUUGACAAAACCCAGCUGGAAGUUAAAUGGCAAGGAAGCCUGGGUGAUGCAGUCCAUACAUGCCAGCCUCCCAGGGCAUAAAGCAGGGUGGAGAAAGGUGGAGAGUGGAUCUGGAGGGCCAAACAGAGAAUAUCCAGCAUAGCCUGUCUGGGCAGUCAGACACCCAAAGCAGCUGGCAUUUUCCAAGCAGGUAAAUCUGCCUCUUGGGCACCCUGACCCCUGGAGAACCAAUGCCACCUGGAGAUGACCCCAUUUCUGGCUUCAUUCUAUAAAAGCUUAAGUUUCACAAAGAAAUUGUGCUGGGGUGAAAGAUCCGGGGGCGUAGGUGGAGAAGAUGAAAGAAUAAAGGCCUUGGCUUGUUGGGGUGGGAAUAAAGGCAGUAGCUAGGAGGGGAAGGGGAUUCUCUAAGAAUGAGGAGGUUAGAGAUUGGUGAUUCCUGAGCAGGUAGGGCCCUUGCUCUGCUCCCUGGAAGUGUUCUGGGUGGGAGCAAGGUGUUGCAAACUGACCUUAGCUGAUCAUGCCCAACUCUUAGCUUUUUUUGGUUGGGAGUGAUGCCUGCCAGAGAAGCUUGACAUGGUGAGGGUUUGCCUCCCUGGCAGGCCUACUCCCAGGACAUAAAGAAAAGUUUCAGACUAAAAUCUGCCACAUGUAGGUUUGUUGCACACCCAUUAGCAGGCAGGCACAAAACAGGUCCUAUAACCUGUCCUGUAAGUUCUUUGAGGUCCCAGCUCUCUGUCCUUUUAGGUGCUCUGGCCACAGCAUGAAUGAAAGGUUUACUCACGGCAGGGACAACAAUAUCCCAGAGUCAGGACUCUCACCCUCACAGUCGGGAUCAGGCAACUAGAGAUGGAGUCUCCCUUAUGUUUGUUAUGCUGUUCCAAACCUGAUUCACAUCACAGGAGUUAUCAGAAAUGGGUUUUCACUGGUGAAAAGAGUUGCUUGUUAAUUUGUGUAAUGGAUUUUAGAAAAGGGCUGUCAUUGUCAAAAUUUAUGGCAGUCAAUGACUCUGAAUUACUUUGUUGUAGUCACUUUCUGAGUAGAAUAUUUACUAACCACUCUUGGAAUGGAAAUUGCUGAUUAAAACACAAGCUGCACCUAGGUGUGUAAAUAACUGGUGCCUACAAAUGUCAUCCUGUCUUUCCCAAAAGAUUUAAUAUGCCCAAGUAUUUUUUUUUUUUUUUUGAGAUGGAGUCUUGCUCUGUCACCUAGGCUGGAGUGCAGUGGCACAAUCUUGACUCACUGCAAGCUCCGCCUCCCGGGUUCAUGCCAUUCUCCUGCCUCAGCCUCCCGAGUAGCUGGGACUACAGGCGCCCACCACGACGCCCGGCUAAUUUUUUGUAUUUUUAGUAAAGACGGGGUUUCACUGUGUUAGCCAGGAUCUCCUGACCUCGUGAUCCACCCACCUUGGCCUCCCAAAGUGCUGGGAUUACAGGCAUGAGCCACGGUGCCCGGCCCCCAGGUAUUUUUUUUAAGAAGUAGAUUUAUUUCUUUAAAAUGCCAAUUUAAAAAAAAAGCAAUCUGGGAGUCCAAGACGAGGGGAAUGUAAGAAAGUCUUACCGCACAUCCCCUCUAUGUGAGUUGCCAAAACAGAAACAUGCUGGAUCCUAUCUAAGGUUCUAGAAGUCCCAGAAGAGCUUUCUUAAAUAUCCUUACCUAGAAUAUGCUUUCCUUGCCUUGAUUCCAAGGAUAGAUGCCAAAGUAUUUUAAGGUAAAUUAUAAAUAUAAGAUUGGGGGCCCCUAAGAGGCUCCCAAGCCAGACAAAGAUGCUCUGCUAUACUUAGCAUGUUCCAGGGGUCAUGCAGACUUAGACAAUAAAAAUAAUGAACUUAAGAUCAAAAGUCUGACUAGGCACGGUGGCUCAUGCCUGUAAUCCCAGCACUUUGGAAGGCCAAGGCGGGCAGAUCACCUGAGGUCAGGAGUUUGAGACCAGCCUGGCCAACAUGGCAAAACCCUCUCUCUACUAAAAAUACAAAAAUUAGCCGGGCAUGGUGGCUCAUGUCUGUAAUCCAAGCUACUUGGGAGGCUAAGGCAGGAGAACUGCUUGAACCUGGGAGACAGAGGUUUCAGGGAGCAGAUGUCAUACCACUGAACUCCAGCCUGGGUGACAGAGCGAGAAUCCAUCAAGAUCAAAAGUCUUUACUGUUUCCUGAGCAGUGUGUAAACCUCCCAGACUCUUACGUGACCCUUGAGAGACAAGCUCUAUAAGGACUGUGAUUUAACUUCUCCAUCAUGGCAGGCUUGGGGGCACACUGAAGUCAAUUUAGGAAAUACAUAGAAAUGGACAACAUGGCUUACACAUUUGAGAUCUGAUUUCUACUGGCUAUGCAAUGUUAAAUCCAUUUUUUUGUUUCCUUCUUUCAAAUACUUUCCACCAUACUUACCCUCAUGACAGACAUUUACACUUCAGCCCUUAGGCUGUGAGAAGCAAAGAAGGAAAAAAAUAGGCCUUGCUCUGUAGGAUUUAAUAGCUAACUCUUAUAUAACAAUUACUGGCUGGGUGCGAUGGCUCAUGCCUGUAAUCCCAACACUUUGGGAGGCCGAGGUGAGCAGAUCACGAGGUCAGGAGUUGGAGACCAGCCUGACUAACAUGGUGAAACCCCGUCUCUACUAAAAAAACAAAAAUUAGCCAGGCAUGGUGGCGCCCACCUGUAAUCCCAGCUAUACAGGAGGCUGAGGCAGGAGAAUCGCUAGAACCCGGGAGGCGGAGGUUGCAGUGAGCUGAGGUCAUGCCACUGCACUCGAACCUGGGUGACAGAGCGAGACUCCGUCUCAAACAAACAACAACAACAAAAUUACUAUUUACUAGUCACUGUUGUCCCACAACCCUGAAACCCUACAAGAUAGGUACUAUUCUUUUAAUCUCUGACAGGAAAAAACUAAGGCACAACCAAGAUCAUGCAAGGUAAUAAGAGGCAAGGUUUUGAAUCUGGGAAGUCAGACUCUGGAAUUCAUACUCUCAGCCACACACUAUAUUACCUACCCAGUGUAGUGGGGGAUGGAUAGAUAAGUAAGUAAUUAAAUACAAUGUACAAUGGUAGAUGCAGAAGCUACCCUGGAAGCACAAGAAAAGAGGCCCCGUCAGCUCAGGAUUUAUAGAGAGGCAAGGAAAGAGGCAUCUCUUGGAUGAGUGACACCUGGACAGAGUUGGAAAGCAUGAGUAGGUAUCAGCUGCACACAAAAGGGAGGAAAGAAAACUCCAGUCAGAGAAAACAGCAUGGUAUCACAGAGGUAUAAAAUGUAAGGGGGCCAGGCACAGUGGCUCAUGCCUGUAAUCCCAGCACUUUGGGAGGCUGAGACGGGAGGAUUGCUUGAGGUCAGGAGUUCAGGACCAGCCUGCGCAACAAACUGAGACCUUGUCUCUACAAAAAAAAAAAAAAAAAAAAAAAAAUUUAAAUAGCUGUGCAUACUGGCAGGCACCUGGGGGCCCAGCUACUUGGGAGGCUGAGGCAGGAGGAUUGCUUGAGCCCAGGAGGUUGUUGCAGUGACCCAUAAUUAUGCCACUGUACUUCAGCUUGGGCGAUAGAGUGAGACCCUCUCUCAAAACAAACAAAACAUGUAUAUAUAUAUACACACACACACACACACAUAUAAUGCAAGCGGGGAGUGGUGAGAGAUAGCUUGCCCACAAAUAUUUAUGGGCCCCCUUCUUUUUUAGGCAGGUACUGUGUUUGGUGCUGGGGUAACAAAUAGCAGGGAUAGCACAUCUAAGGAACUUGAACUUUCAAGCAUUAUGCUCCCUUACCCACUAAAAUAAUCUUAAAAACUAGCCCUAGGCAAAACACUCAACAAACCAGGAAUGGAAAGGAAUUUUCUCAACCUGAUCAAGGUCAUCUAUGAAACACCCACAGCUAACAUCAUAUUUAAUGAUGAAAGGCUGAAUGCCCUCCCCCUAAGAUCAGGAACCAGAGGAGGAUGUCCACUCUCGCCAUUCCUGUUCAGUACUGUGCUGGAGGUUCUAGCCAGAAACAAUAGGCAAGAAAAUUAAAUAAAAGGCAUACAGAUUGGAAGGGAAUUUGAAAUUUUAAAAUAAAGCUGUUAUAUCACAGUUUUGAAUGUCAUCCAAUGGAAUUUAAAUAUAUAUAGCAAUUUGUUAUGUACCAUCAUCCAUUUAUAUAGAGAGAUAUAUAAAGCAAAAGCACUCUUGGUACUAUAAUAAAUUCUACAUUACUCGUUUUUCUCCUUGAACUUGUCUUUCUAUUCCAUUUUGUUCUCACAGAAGUUUAUCCUCUGCUAAUUUUAUGCUUGAAAGUCUUUUAUCGAUCAUCCUUUCAUACUUCUCUGCCACACAAAUGUGCAUUUAUGUGGAAAUUUAAUUUGUAAAAACAUUUCCUCGGACCAUAAUCCUUCGAAAAGUUCCUUACCUAUUAUUACAAGUAUUAUUAUUGCAUGAUUAAUCAAAGUAACAUAUAGCAUCAUUUUUCAAUAAAUGAAAUUUUAUUGCAAAUGCAUUUCAGUGUGAUGGUAUGUGAUUUUUCUCAAUGAGUCCUGCAUCAUUCUAUUCCUUUUUUUUUUUUAUUAAGAAAACUUACAUAAAACAAGUAGAUGGGAAUGAAAAGGGGUUUGCUAUAGCAAUAGCAUUCAGUUCUUUUGGAACUGUUUCCAAAUAAUGUGCCAAAAAUCACACAACAAUCAUAGUCCAAACUCAUUUUAAUGACCCAUCAGCUGACAAUUCCAGGAGGUCCUUAUUCAAUUUUGUUGGAAACAAAUAAUUGGAAGCUACCUAACUUACAAAAAGAUGUGUUACUUGGUCAUUAAAGUUCCUUACUUUUUUAAUCCAGACACCAGUAUUUCAGUAUAUUCCUUCGAGUGGACCCCUGGGAGAUUUAUACACCCACUGGCAAUGCACCUGAGAUUCACUGGGGGAGGGAGAGAGGCGUUUGUUUUUGGUUGUUUGUUUGCUUGCUACUUUUGUCUGCUCCACCACACCUUGGAAUGAUAGCUCCAUAAAGGCUGAGAUGUUUGAUUUUUGUUCACUGCUGUAUCUCCAGGACAUAGAAAGCUGUUGGAUACCCUACCUACUUGAUGCUUGAUGAAUGUAUGUGGAAUGUUAUGAAAGAAUGUAAAAACUACCUGUUUCUGGCUGUAUGCUUUUGAGAGGUGACAGCGUGCUGGCAGUCCUCACAGCCCUCGCUUGCUCUCGGCGCUUCCUCUGCCUGGGCUCCCAUUUUGGCGGCACUUGAGAAGCCCUUCAGCCCACCGCUGCACUGCGGGAGCCCCUUUGUGGGCCGGCCAAGACCGGAGCCGGCUCCCUCAGCUUGCAGGGAGGUGUGGAGGGAGAGGAGCGAGGGGGAACCGGGGCUGCACGCGGCGCUUUCGGGCCAGCUGGAGUUCCAGGUGGGCGUGGGCUUGGCGGGCCCUGCACUCGGAGCAGCCAGCCGGCCCUGCUGGCCCCGGACAAUGAGGAGGGGCUUAGCACCCAGGCCAGCGGCUUCGGAGGGUGUACUGGUUCCCCCAGCAGUGCCAGCCCGCCGGCGCUGUGCUCGAUUUCUCACCAUGCCUUAGCUGUCUUCCUGCGGGGCAGGUCUCGGGACCAGCAGCCCGCCAUGCCUGAGCCUCCCACCCCGUCCAUGAGCUCCUGUGCCGCCCGAGCCUCCCCGAUGAGUGCCGCCCCCUGCUCCAGGGCGCCCAGUCCCAUCGACCACCCAAGGGCUGAGGAGUGUGGGCACACGGCACCAGACUGGCAGGCAGCUCCACCUGCAGCCCCAGUGCGGGAUCCACUGGGUGAAGCCAGCUGGGCUCCUGAGUCUGGUGGGGACGUGGAGAAUCUUUAUAUCUAGCUCAGGGAUUGUAAAUACACCAAUUGGCACUCUGUAUCUAGCUCAAGGUUUGUAAACACACCAAUCAGCACCCUGUGUCUAGCUCAGGGUUUGUAAAUGCACCAAUCGACACUCUGUAUCUAGCUACUCUGGUGGGGCCUUGGAGAACCUUUGUGUCCACACUCUGUAUCUAGCUAAUCUAAGUGGGGACAUGGAGAACCUUUGUGUCUAGCUCAGGGAUUGUAAACGCACCAAUCAGCGCCCUGUCAAAACAGACCACUCGGCUCUACCAAUCAGCAGGAUGUGGGUGGAGCCUGAUAAGAGAAUAAAAGCAGGCUGCCGGAGCCAACAGUGGUAACGUGGUCGGGUCCCCUUCUGUACUGUGGAAGCUUUGUUCUUUCGCUCUUUGCAAUAAAUCUUGCUACUGCUCACUCUUUGGGUCCACACUGUUUUUAUGAGCUGUAACACUCACCGCAAAGGUCUGCAGCUUCACUCCUGAAGCCAGCGAGACCACAAGCCCACUGGGAGGAAUGAACAACUCCAGAUGCGCCGCCUUAAGAGCUGCAACACUCACCGCGAAGGUCUGCAGCUUCACUCCUGAGCCAGUGAGACCACGAACCCACCAGAAGGAAGAAACUCCAAACACAUCUGAACAUCAGAAGGAACAAACUCCAGACGCGCCACCUUAAGAGCUGUAACACUCACGGCGAGGGUUGGCGGCUUCAUUCCGGACGCACUUUGAGCGGGCAAAGAGACAGAGGCACCCAGUGCUGCACUGAUUUGGGUUUCUCCGUCCAAAGGCACCAAAAGGUCACCUUUCUCCAAAUCAAAGAUGCAGCGUGGAGCAGAGAAAAGGCCUAAUCUUUGGAAUCCAACCUGGGUUUGAAGUCUGACAGUGACAUUGAAUAGCUGUAAUUUUGGGGCAAACUCCUGGUCUUAGAUUCUUCCCAUGUGUAAAAAGAAUAAUUGGCCCUCCUUCCAGGAGAGGCAGAGGAGGAAGUGACCAUGAAAUAUGAUAAUGCCCGUCAGGUAUCUGCACCAUUUCAUGCACUCAUUGGUGUGAGUUGUCCUUCAUUCCAACUCUGCCUCUUUCCUCCUUGGUGGCACCACCCUUGCCUCUAACCAGCCCAGAAAUUUAUACUACUGGGUUCAUCCUAAACCCUUGCUGCUGUAGAUGCUAAGCAGCAGACAAAAUGUUAGAUUUAGCGGUUUUGGUGGAAUCUAGGGCAGAGGGAAAAUGUACCUUCAUCUCCUCAUUUAGAAAAUGGGGGUAAUAGGCUGGGUGUGGUGGCUCAUGCCUGUAAUCCAAGCACUUUGGGAGGCGGAGGCAGGUGGAUCAUCUGAGGUCAAGAGUUCGAGACCAGCCUGGCCAACAUGGUGAAACCCCGUCUCUACUAAAAAUACAAAAAUUAGGCCCAGUGCUGUGGCUCACUCCUGUAAUCCCAGAACUUUGGGAGGUUGAGGUGGGUGGAUCACCUGAGGUCAGGAGUUCAAGACCAACCUGGCCAACAUAAUGAAACCCCGUCUCCACUAAAAAUACAAAAAUUAGCCAGGCAUGGUGGUGCACGCCUAUAAUCCCAGCUACUCGGGAGGCUAAGGCAGAAGAAUUGCUUGAAUCAGGAGGCAGAGCUUGCAGUGAGCCGAGAUCGCACCAUUGCGCUCCUGCCUGGGUGACAGAGCAAGACUCCCUCUCAAAAAAAAAAAAAAAAAUGGGGUAAUAACAGCCCUACCUCAGGAUUUUUGUGCAGGUUAAUGUGUUGACUUUCAUGAAGUGCUUUGAACAGAGCUUAACACACAGCCAAGGGUUGAUAAAUGGGUGUUAUUCUAUUUUGGCCUGCCUGUAGGCCGCUAAUAAAAACACAUGUGUUAUCUAGAAGAGAGGGGGCAGCCCAGCAUAAUUGUGGAGUGAGAGAGUAGGAAUUUUCUCAGAUGCUCUGUCUCCUAUGCAUCCUUUAUAACAUGCAUUGAGAUCUCACAGAGGCAGAUACUACAGGUGGAAUGAAAACCAGUGGUCAAGUUUCAGGGGAUGUAGCAGGUUAAGGGCACCGUGGGUAUCUGUGACCAGAAGAGCCACAUGCUUCCCUCAAGCCCCCUAUCCACAGGACUUCCCCAAUGCCCCCAGCAGAGGGUGAGGUAAAGUCCUGUCCUGCCUCCUCCAUAUCCUCACAGCCCUCUUCUCUGAAACAACUUGGUCAGUGCACCCAGCGUUAUAGUCCCUGAGUUGCAUGCACUCUCCCCCUCAGCCUGUGACUUCUUCCAGAGAAGGAACUCAUGCUGUAAAACCCCAGACAGGCAUAAGGCUGAGUACAAAGCAAGCACUCAAAUAUUCCUUAAGUGAAGAAAUCUGGAGGUAAACUGCUGAUGUCACAGGUUGGCCAAGGACAGCCUUCCCUGGGACUGGAGAGGCAGCUUCCUAAAACAAUUGGAGAGGGUAAGGGAAUGGCCAUAGUUUCUGUCGACUCCCCUGGCAGUUUCUCAAGUUUAUUAAACCUAAGGAAAGGAUGCUGGAAACAAACAUGUAGGUCUGGAGCUGCCUAGAGGGCUGUGUCCAGGUAUGGGGAGCUGGCCCC
rnacentral:lncRNA from 10 species